GGAGGGCUAUCUGGCUGUGACAUCUGUCACCCCCAUUGAUCGCCAGGGUUGAGUCGCUUAUCUGGCUGGCUAGACAGGUGUCCCCCUUGUCCCUCACCGAUCCAUGGGGAUCCCUCCUGAAGCUGCAUGGGGUCCAACGGGGACCACCCUCCCCCCAGAGGAGGGGACCUGUCUUUGGUCAAGGGCAUACAAGUAACUGCGCUCCCAUACUAGAACCUCCAAACAAGCUCCUUAUUUAUUUGAAAAGACAUAUCCUAAAUGGAAGGGUUUUAAAUAUUAAAUCAAUUGUACCCUUUAUGCUAGAGUUCUGAAU
rfam:Myotis davidii contig58750, whole genome shotgun sequence.